AGUGGGAUAGCUGGGUCAAAUUCUAGUUCCAUUUCAAGUUUUCUAAGGAAUCUCCAUACUGCUUUCCAUAGUGGUUGCACCAAUUUGCAGUCCCAUCAGCAAU
rnacentral:pre_miRNA from 1 species